rnacentral:rRNA from 1 species
CGGUGAUCUCGGUGCUUGCACCGGGUGAUCAGUGGCGAACGGGUGAGUAACACGUGAGCAACCUGCCCCUGACUCUGGGAUAACCCCGAGAAAUCGGAGCUAAUACCGGAUACGAGACGCACGGGCAUCCGUAGCGUCUGGAAAGAAUUUUGGUCAGGGAUGGGCUCGCGGCCUAUCAGCUUGUUGGUGGGGUAACGGCCCACCAAGGCGACGACGGGUAGCCGGCCUGAGAGGGCGACCGGCCACACUGGGACUGAGACACGGCCCAGACUCCUACGGGAGGCAGCAGUGGGGAAUAUUGCACAAUGGGCGAAAGCCUGAUGCAGCGACGCCGCGUGGGGGAUGAAGGCCUUCGGGUUGUAAACCCCUUUCAGCAGGGAAGAAGCGAAAGUGACGGUACCUGCAGAAGAAGCGCCGGCUAACUACGUGCCAGCAGCCGCGGUAAUACGUAGGGCGCAAGCGUUGUCCGGAAUUAUUGGGCGUAAAGAGCUCGUAGGCGGUUUGUCGCGUCUGCUGUGAAAACCCGAGGCUCAACCUCGGGCCUGCAGUGGGUACGGGCAGACUAGAGUGCGGUAGGGGAGACUGGAAUUCCUGGUGUAGCGGUGGAAUGCGCAGAUAUCAGGAGGAACACCGAUGGCGAAGGCAGGUCUCUGGGCCGCAACUGACGCUGAGGAGCGAAAGCAUGGGGAGCGAACAGGAUUAGAUACCCUGGUAGUCCAUGCCGUAAACGUUGGGCACUAGGUGUGGGGCUCAUUCCACGAGUUCCGUGCCGCAGCAAACGCAUUAAGUGCCCCGCCUGGGGAGUAC